GGAGUGGAGGGGGCGCGGGGCGGGAGCCGCUCCUCAGGCCGGGAUCGCUUCCCGCGGCAUCCCUGAGCAGCCUCCUCAGACCCUGGCUGCUCUUCCCUGUGGGGAUACUCCCGUUCCUCUGGGCAGGCUCCCCUGGGGAGAUUCGAGCCAAAUUUAUUUAAUUCUAGCUGAAAGUGGAGGCGGAAUGUCAAGAUGUGGGGACUGGUCUGGGACAAGCUCCUCCCAUUCCUUGAAGUCUUUUAAGAGCAGUUUUGCCACAGCUUUUGGAGAUCAGGUCUCUGAGAGGUCCUGGAGAUGACAAAAAGAGAACUCUUCAAGCAAUGGAAUUUCUUGAAUGUCACCAAAAGAAGUCAAACCAAGAUGUGGACUGUUCCUGCUUGAUAUGCCAGGAGCGAAGCUAGCUUUCCAUAGUUUCCCAUGCUGCAGUGAGAUAAGGAUUAAAAACUGAGUAUUUAAACAUCUUGUUGUUGAGCUAAGAGUAAAAUAAUGCUGUUCUGAAGAAGCCUAUACAUUAUCCUGAUGUGCAGCAGCUGAAGAUUUAAUCAAGGUUGCUGACUGGGACCUUCUCCCUAAACCGCUAGUCUCCUGUAAGGUAUUUAACACAGUCACUGCAUUCCAGUCAUGGUUUCAAACCUAUCAUCAUUCCUGCUGGUUCUUCUCUGGACACUUUCCAACAGAGCCAAAUUAUUCUUGAAGCAUAGUUCCUGGAACUGGAUAUACAGAUAAGACCUUAGUACCCCUCUGGGAUAUAAGAACUGCUUCUCCCAUAGCCCUGUUGAGAAACUGAGGCAGAGAAAAGCAUGGAGGCUAUCCAAAGAGAAUCUCAGCAGAGCACAAAUUGAAGCAAAUUCCCUGAACUUUCAAGCUUGUGUUUAACCACACAAUUAAUUCGUUAAAUAGAAGCUAGAUGAAAUGUACUAUGACAUUUGGAAACUGGGCUCUCCUGGUACACCAGUCUUUCAUGUCUUUCAAGAAAGUGAAAGAAAAGCAAGUGGAUUAGACUAAAAAGUGUCUCCAGAGGGAAGCAGAGCUAUCACCCAGAGGAGGAAGUUCCCCAGCAUCUAGGAAAUAGGAGAAAGCACAGACCUGCCAGGGCACAGCCGUUUGUAAGGGAGAUGAACUGACUGAUUCUGGGAGUGGGUGAGGAGCCUUUCUGCAUGCUGGCCAUGAAGCACAGGCUAGAUGAGUCUUCCACUUUCCUCAUAAGCUGGUGAAAUGUGGUGGAGUUGAACGUGCAGCUCAGCUGGCCGUCUGGAGCAUGUCAGCUGACAGCUGCAGGACAAAGGGGAGCUGUCUUCUCACCAGUAGCUCAAGGGCACCCACAGGGAGAAGUUAAAAAUUCUCCCUGCUGAAAACUUUGUGCCUGCCCUUCUUUCAAUAAAUCUGCAGCACAGUCGUGAUUUAGUCUUAAUGAGAAGACACCAGUCUAAAAAAAUCCUGCUGUAUUUUAGAAACAAGCCUGUAUACUUUCCCACAAACACUUCUAACAAAACCUCAAUCUUACAGCACAGACCUACACAGGGCUUUUACCUGUAAACUACCACCUUUUGCUAUAUGUAGUGCAAUGCCUCAUUGGAGCCUACAGUUCUGCAGAACUGAGUCUGUUUAUUGCUAAAAACACUAUAGUACACACAUUUGAAGUAUAGUACACACACCAUUUGAAGUAUAUCUCUUCCUCUUUAUCUCUGAAGUUCAUGAGAGUUAAAAUUUUAUAUACAAGGCACGGCUCACUUCUGUCACUGCCCUCAAAACUUUUUUGAGACUGGAAUGUCUCCCUCAGGGAGAAAAGACUUGUUUCUACCUCUAUAAGCAUAGCAGAUAAGAUGAUGUGCCUGUGGGCAGAUUACUUUGCCCCUUUGUUAGAAGUUGUGGGGUUUUUGUUUUGUUUUUCUGUUCAUAAUUAUUUUUA